UACGGAGGGGGCUAGCGUUGUUCGGAAUUACUGGGCGUAAAGCGCACGUAGGCGGCUUUGUAAGUUAGAGGUGAAAGCCCGGGGCUCAACCCCGGAACUGCCUUUAAGACUGCAUCGCUUGAACGUCGGAGAGGUGAGUGGAAUUCCGAGUGUAGAGGUGAAAUUCGUAGAUAUUCGGAAGAACACCAGUGGCGAAGGCGGCUCACUGGACGACUGUUGACGCUGAGGCGCGAAAGCGUGGGGAGCAAACAGG
rnacentral:rRNA from 1 species